rnacentral:pre_miRNA from 1 species
UAUGUACUCCCUCCGUUCGGAAUUACUUGUCUCGGAAAUGGAUGUAUCUAGAACUAAAAUACGUCUAGAUACAUCCAUUUCUGCGACAAGUAAUUCCGAACGGAGGGAGUAGUGG